rfam:Mannheimia haemolytica M42548, complete genome.
UCUUGCCUGGGGUGUGCGUUACGAGUUACGUCCCUGAGCCGAUAAUUUGAAACUUUGAGUUGGACAUCUAACGCUGGUGAGCAAGCUUACCCUAAUUUAAUUAGGAGUAAGAAGCCUAAAAGCAGUUAAGUUUGACUCCCUUGAACCGACUGGUUCAAGGACCAUUACUGGUAGCGGCAUCUCGGGUCUUUA